rnacentral:misc_RNA from 1 species
UAGAAAUCAUCAUUGGGGGGGAGUUUGAGCUCUCUCCGGGUUGUUGCUGGCCCCUCUCGGGGGGCAUGUGCACGCUUGGGGUGCGAUCUCCCCUCCGAUUUCUCCACACACACCUGUGAACUCACGUGGAACGCGAAGGGGGAGGCUCGUCCUCCUCGGAGCUUCCAUCUCAUCUCCACAAACUCUUGUUGUGACCCGAGAUAGCUGAUAUUAAUAAAUGUAAAA